UACAUGGGGUGCAAACGUUGCUCGGAAUUAUUGGGCGUAAAGCGCACGUAGGCGGUUCGUUAAGUCGGAUGUGAAAGCCCUCGGCUCAACUGAGGAAGUGCACCCGAAACUGGCGAGCUUGAGUACGAAAGAGGAUCGCGGAAUUCCCGGUGUAGAGGUGAAAUUCGUAGAUAUCGGGAGGAACACCGGUGGCGAAGCGGCGAUCUGGGUCGAUACUGACGCUGAGGUGCGAAAGCGUGGGGAGCAAACAGG
rnacentral:rRNA from 1 species